GAUGAACGCUAGCGAUAGGCUUAACACAUGCAAGUCGAGGGGCAGCACAAGGUAGUUUGCUCUCUGGGUGGCGACCGGCGCACGGGUGCGUAACGCGUAUGCAACUUGCCCUAUACAGGAGGAUAACCCGUCGAAAGACGGACUAAUACUGCGUAUGCUCACAACUUGGCAUCAAGUGGUGAGGAAAGAAAUUCGGUAUAGGAUAGGCAUGCGUCCCAUUAGCUUGUUGGUGAGGUAACGGCUCACCAAGACAACGAUGGGUAGGGGAACUGAGAGGUUUAUCCCCCACACUGGUACUGAGACACGGACCAGACUCCUACGGGAGGCAGCAGUGAGGAAUAUUGGUCAAUGGGCGCGAGCCUGAACCAGCCAAGUCGCGUGAAGGAUGACUGUCUUAUGGAUUGUAAACUUCUUUUAUACGGGAAUAACAAGAGUCACGUGUGACUCCCUGCAUGUACCGUAUGAAUAAGCAUCGGCUAACUCCGUG
rnacentral:rRNA from 1 species